rnacentral:tRNA from 1 species
GGAGAUGUCGCUCAGUGGUAGAGUGUUUGCUUGGCGUGUAGGAGGCUCUGGGUUCAGUUCCCAGUGUUGCGA